rnacentral:snRNA from 1 species
AACCGUAUGAUAAGCACAUAGCGAACUAUUCUUUUGCCUUUUACUAAAGAAUACCGUGUGCUUGUCACUCAAAGUGGUAUACGCUUAUUUUUGAAAGAGUUCUCUUGCUCUGCAAUUUU